GAUGAAGAACGCAGCGAAAUGCGAUAAGUAAUGUGAAUUGCAGAAUUCAGUGAAUCAUCGAAUGUUUGAACGCACAUUGCGCCCGCCAGUAUUCUGGCGGGCAUGCCUGUCUGAGCGUCAUUUCAACCCUCAUGCCCCUAGGGCGUGGUGUUGGGGAUCGGCCAAAGCCCGCGAGGGACGGCCGGCCCCUAAAUCUAGUGGCGGACCCGUCGUGGCCUCCUCUGCGAAGUAGUGAUAUUCCGCAUCGGAGAGCGAUGAGCCCCUGCCGUUAAACCCCCAACUUUCCAAGGUUGACCUCAGAUCAGGUAGGAAUACCCGCUGAACUUAAGCAUAUCAAUAAGCGGAGGA
rnacentral:misc_RNA from 1 species